CAGAGAAAGAAGGAUGAACAAAACAAGUAAAAAAAUAUAAAAAACAAAGUAUUCUAGAAUUAACCCUUUUUGGUGGAGAGGAGGCAUGAUAUUCCAUGAUUGUUUGAUUCCAAGUGUUUGAAUGGACAUGAUAUGAUGAUAAACCAAAAAAUUGUGGACUUAGAAAGACCACUUGUAUUUUCAUCAACAAUAAUUAUGAUAUGCAUCUUCGUCUACCACGGCCAAAUCUUUUUCUUUUACCUUUUUGGAUACGGGAAUGGAAAUAAAAGAACUCAUCAAUCUUUGGAGUAGCAAAUCAUGUACUCAUAUAUCUAGCAAUAAUACCACUUUCGGCAAGCUAAAAUGGUGAUUAACUGGUGCCUAUGGCCUACGUCAAAU
rnacentral:lncRNA from 1 species